UACGUAGGUGACCAGCGUUGUCCGGAUUUACUGGGCGUAAAGAGCGCGCAGGCGGUCGUUCAAGUCGAGUGUGAAAGCCCCCGGCUCAACUGGGGAGGGUCAUUCGAUACUGAUCGACUCGAAGGCAGGAGAGGGAAGCGGAAUUCCCGGUGUAGUGGUGAAAUGCGUAGAUAUCUGGAGGAACACCGGUGGCGAAGGCGGCAUCCUGGACCAAUUCUGACACUGAGGAGCGAAAGCCAGGGGAGCAAACGGG
rnacentral:rRNA from 1 species